UACAGAGGGUGCAAGCGUUAUUCGGAAUCACUGGGCGUAAAGAGUUCGUAGGCGGAAUGUUAAGUCUGAUGUGAAAGCCCACGGCUCAACCGUGGAGGGUCAUUGGAAACUGGGGGACUUGAGUGCAGGAGAGAAGAGUGGAAUUCCACGUGUAGCGGUGAAAUGCGUAGAGAUGUGGAGGAACACCAGUGGCGAAGGCGACACGCUGGGCCGUACCUGACACUGAUGCGCGACAGCAUGGGGAGCAAACAGG
rnacentral:rRNA from 1 species